rnacentral:rRNA from 1 species
UGGGGAAUAUCGGACAAUGGGCGAAAGCCUGAUCCAGCCAUGCCGCGUGAGUGAUGAAGGCCCUAGGGUUGUAAAGCUCUUUCGCCAGGGACGAUAAUGACGGUACCUGGAUAAGAAGCCCCGGCUAACUUCGUGCCAGCAGCCGCGGUAAUACGAAGGGGGCUAGCGUUGUUCGGAAUCACUGGGCGUAAAGCGCACGUAGGCGGACUGUUAAGUCGGGGGUGAAAUCCUGGGGCUCAACCCCAGAACUGCCCUCGAUACUGGCGGUCUUGAGUGUGGGAGAGGUUGGUGGAACUCCGAGUGUAGAGGUGAAAUUCGUAGAUAUUCGGAAGAACACCAGUGGCGAAGGCGGCCAACUGGCCCAUUACUGACGCUGAGGUGCGAAAGCGUGGGGAGCAAACAG